rnacentral:rRNA from 1 species
GUGGGGAAUAUUGGACAAUGGGCGAAAGCCUGAUCCAGCCAUGCCGCGUGUGUGAAGAAGGUCUUCGGAUUGUAAAGCACUUUAAGUUGGGAGGAAGGGCAGUAAGUUAAUACCUUGCUGUUUUGACGUUACCGACAGAAUAAGCACCGGCUAACUUCGUGCCAGCAGCCGCGGUAAUACGAAGGGUGCACGCGUUAAUCGGAAUUACUGGGCGUAAAGCGCGCGUAGGUGGUUUUGUAAGUUGGAGGUGAAAUACCCGGGCUCAACCUGGGAACUGCCUCCAAAACUGCAUGACUAGAGUACGGUAGAGGGUAGUGGAAUUUCCUGUGUAGCGGUGAAAUGCGUAGAUAUAGGAAGGAACACCAGUGGCGAAGGCGACUACCUGGACUGAUACUGACACUGAGGUGCGAAAGCGUGGGGAGCAAACAGGAUUAGAAACCCUGGUAGUCC